AUUUCCUUCUUGCCACAUAUUUGUUUGCAAUGUUUGUCCAGGAACUACUGGUUUCACGAAGCGCGUCUGCAAUGUGUAUCAAGGAUACGAAUUUACAUAAAAUAUUUAUUUAUUUAACAAUAAGAAGAAGCAAAAAGAACCACCUUAAAUAAGUUUUGAUCACCGUUAGCAUAAGUUUGAAGAACAUGACGAACAGAAAAUCCAAGAGAACAUAAUCCAUGUAAGAUUGGUUGUUUGAAACCAGCCAUCAUUGAUACAUUUAAAUCGAUAUGCAAGGGGUUUCUGUCACCACUUAAUCUGUAUAAUGCAGCCUGUAAAUUGGAAUAUGAUAUUUUAAUAAAGAUUAGUAGAUAUAUCAAAA